UACGAAGGGGGCUAGCGUUGUUCGGAAUCACUGGGCGUAAAGCGCACGUAGGCGGCGCGUUAAGUCAGGGGUGAAAUCCUGGAGCUCAACUCCAGAACUGCCUUUGAUACUGGCGUGCUCGAGUGUGGGAGAGGUUGGUGGAACUCCGAGUGUAGAGGUGAAAUUCGUAGAUACUCGGAAGAACACCAGUGGCGAAGGCGGCCAUCUGGCCGAUUACCGACGCUGAUGUGCGAAAGCCUUGGGAGCAAACAGG
rnacentral:rRNA from 1 species